rnacentral:tRNA from 1 species
GCGGAAGUGGUGAAACUGGCAAACACGUACGGUUCAGGGCCGUAUGCCUCACGGCUUGAGGGUUCAACUCCCUCCUUCCGCACCA